GAUGAAGAACGUAGCGAAAUGCGAUAAGUAAUGUGAAUUGCAGAAUUCAGUGAAUCAUCGAAUCUUUGAACGCACAUUGCGCCCCCUGGCAUUCCGGGGGGCAUGCCUGUUCGAGCGUCAUUACAACCCUCAAGCUCUGCUUGGUAUUGGGCUCUGCCGGUCCCGGCAGGCCUUAAAAUCAGUGGCGGCGCCACUCGGCUUCAAGCGUAGUAAUUCUUCUCGCUUCGGAGACCCGGGUGCGUGCUAGCCAGCAACCCCCAACUUUCACAGGUUGACCUCGGAUCAGGUAGGGAUACCCGCUGAACUUAAGCAUAUCAAUAAGCGGAGGA
rnacentral:misc_RNA from 1 species